UACAGAGGAGCCAAGCGUUGUCCGGAUUGACUGGGCGUAAAGCGCACGCAGGCGGACGCGCGCGUGGGGUGUGAAAUCUGGCCGCUUAACGGCCAGGCGCCAUCCCAUACGGCGGGUCUGGAGUGAUGCAGAGGGCGGUGGAAUUGCCGGUGUAGUGGUGAAAUGCGUAGAGAUCGGCAGGAACACCCAGGGGGAAACCAGCCGCCUGGGCAUCGACUGACGCUGAGGUGCGAGAGCGUGGGGAGCGAACCGG
rnacentral:rRNA from 1 species